rnacentral:tRNA from 1 species
GGGGGUCUGGUUCAGUGGGAGGAACCCCUGCUUGGCACGCAGAAGGUCCCAGGUUCAAUUCCCAGCAUCUCCA